rnacentral:rRNA from 1 species
GAUGAACGCUGGCGGCGUGCCUAAUACAUGCAAGUCGAGCGAACAGACGAGGAGCUUGCUCCUCUGACGUUAGCGGCGGACGGGUGAGUAACACGUGGAUAACCUACCUAUAAGACUGGGAUAACUUCGGGAAACCGGAGCUAAUACCGGAUAAUAUAUUGAACCGCAUGUUUCAAUAGUGAAAGACGGUUUUGCUGUCACUUAUAGAUGGAUCCGCUCCGCAUUAGCUAGUUGGUAAGGUAACGGCUUACCAAGGCGACGAUGCGUAGCCGACCUGAGAGGGUGAUCGGACACACUGGAACUGAGACACGGUCCAGACUCCUACGGGAGGCAGAAGUAGGGAAUCUUCCGCAAUGGGCGAAAGCCUGACGGAGAAACGCCGCGUGAGUGAUGAAGGUCUUCGGAUCGUAAAACUCUGUUAUUAGGGAAGAACAAAUGUGUAAGUAACUAUGCACGUCUUGACGGUACCUAAUCAGAAAGCCACGGCUAACUACGUG